UUGAAUCUGAUAAGAUUGCUGACGGUGUCCGAAACCAUUUUAAUUUGCACCAUGUGAUCUGACUAAAGUCACGCGGAAUAAGUACUUUCGAUUUGUUAUAACGCCCUCUAUUGCUGUUUAGAUCACUAUAUUUUGCAGGAGCUACAAUACAAAAACAAAGAAGAAGAAUGACGGCCAUAGACGCAAUAGACGAAAUAGAACCAGGCGAUGCAGUUGUAUUCAAAUAUUGGGAAAAAGAUCAUGAAGGUAUUGUUACAAGCGUCACAAUGGAUCGCAACGAACGCAAACUUGGAAUAGUUCAUAUUAUUCAUUACGCUUACGACUUUCCGAGAACAUGGAAAAUAAUAGAGGAAACCUUUUGUUUUAAUCUUACAUUACAAAAAAUAUGUAAGAAAGUUUACAAUGGAGUGGACAUCAUAGAUUCACCCACCGUUGUAGAACGAGCAAAGGCGCGGUUAGGCGAAGAUCGCAAUGACAGAAACUACAACACGUCUCGUCAUUUAGUAGAGUGGGCAAAGGUUGGUCAUGAUAGCAAAAUGCUUGUUGUCGACACAUACAGACAUAGCACCGGUUGCUUGUUCCGUAUAUACAAUGCGUAUGCCUGGUCGGAUAUAGAAACGGGAUGUAUUAUCGAAUUUUCAUAUCAUGGGUUUAAGCAUCAAAGUGUGGUCAAAAAGAUAAAUACGGGUGAAGACAAAAUAACCGUCAUUCAUUAUGGCUUCAGCCAUAUAUUUGGUACGCGAACUGUCAUGGAAGAAAACAUAAAAAUUGAUUUCAAAACAGAGGACAUAAGGAUAUAUCGGUGUGACCCAGCAUUCAACCACAAUGAACAAGAAGAUGUUGUAGCAAAAGCAGAAAAAAGGAUCGGUGAGCAGCAUUGGAGUAUUAUUACCAACUCAUGUUGGGCAUUCUGCAUGCAAUGCCUUUUCCACUAAAUACCAGGAAUCCACAUGAUAGCCAUACAUAUGAGCGUAUCGGAUACAGUACAUUUUCGUUGUUAUAAAUAAACAGAUGAGAAUUGUUAACAAUGGUUUCCUAUACCAUAUCUAUUCGUUUUUGCAAACAAAAUCAUUUAAUCAUAGAGCGAGGUGACCACACAAGUCAAUCUAUUUGAUUGCUACAGACCUAAAUUAAUACAAAUUAAUACAAACAAAAAUAUGUGCAUACCCCAAAAUGCCCGUGUAAUCUGCAAAUGAUCGGGAUGUGUAACUGUCAAGUUCACUUCCAACUGACUACAUAGACAACAAAGAGAAGAAUCCGCCUUGAAAAGAAAAUAUUGUUUCGGGACAAUUUAAUGAUGUAACAGUACCCACAUGACUAAAAACAAUAGAAACAACAACGUUUUUAAAUAACGGUCUUAAAACGGACACUUCUGAAUCUGCUAUGCAGAGUUUUGAAUUAGGUUGUUGUUCAAUAUUGUCAUAUGCUAAAUUGGUUCAUUGAACAGAAAAGAACAGAAAGUUUAUUUGUAUAACUUGAACAAGUCUAGUUCAUCGGUAUACAUUCAAAACUGGCAAUAUAUAAGCAAGAAACACAUGCAUUGCAAUUCGAAAGUGACACAAAUAGUAUAUACAAUGUGUUAAAUAAUGCGGAUUAGGCCAUUAUAUUACUUAACGUUUGCAUUCAAUGUCUCAGUUCUCAUUUUAAACGCAUGUUCAUAAUAUUUCGCUAGAUUUGUUAAAACUUUAGUGUUUGUAUUUGUUAACAGAUUUAAAAAAUGUAUGCAUACUAGGUCGGUUAGUCGGUGUCAAUAUAUAGUUUUCUAAUAUAAGUAUAAAGAGAACAUGCGAUUACAAAAUGAUAUUCGUCCUCGAUAUCACCUGAGCUUCAUAUACUACAUUUACGUUCGUUUCUAUGCAUAUUUAUAUGUCUCCCUGAUUAAUUUUUUAAUAUAUGUGACGAAAGUCUUAGUUUUUAUAUGUUUUCUUUCUUAAAUUAAAGUUUUGGAUUAUGUUAAGGUAAUCAGAAAAUUCAAAUCGAUUUUUCAACUCUUUGUAUAAUGUUAAUGAACUUUUUUACAUUUAAAUCAUUUCGCCUAAAACCUAUGUACAUAUCAAUUAGUCUAGUUUUAAAUAUAAGGAUAAAUACAUUUGAAUUUACUGACUCUUGAUACAUCCAUACAUCUACAAACCUGUAUUUUGAAGCAAGUCACGUACUUUGGUUAUCCACUUGUUACAUCGUAUAAUAUUUUCAGCACCGUUUCUCAUUUAACACAGUGUACUAUAUAAUAUACAAUUAGUUUGUUUAACAGUAUACAAUUUUAUAAAAUAUUUUAUAAUUCGUGCAUGGCGAUUUAUAUACAACAUACUGCUGCAUUAGGAGUACCCGUUUAGACACAACGCAUUCGUUUUAAAUAAUCUCCUAGUAUUUGAAAAAAACAACAUACGCAUGACAAAUAUUGACGUAACAUACGAAUAAAAAAGAUUCAACAUUAUUUUAACAGGACCAUGCAUGUCUUUGGUAAUUGCAAAAAGCGACCCCAUAGCCUUUAAGCCUCUGAUAACGUUUGAGUAUUCUGUUUAAAUGACCCACCACUUGAUAGUACAAUGCCGAGAAAGUUACAGUUUGACCAUUUCUAUUUGUUCAUUAUUAAAAAAAAAUCACAUUCUGUGAAUUAUUUCCACCCUUUUUAUAUAUUAAUAACUUAUUGAUUAUACUAUUUUAUUGUUAUUUCAUUAAUUUUGACAAUCUGUAUGGUUAAUAAACAAUGGACCGGUU